AGUCUAUUCAGAGGAACCUGUCCUGUAAUUGAUAAUCCACGAUGAACCUUACUUAAAUUUGUUUUUCAGUUUAUAUACCGUCGUUAUCAGAAUAUUUUAUUAGAAUAAUAAUUUUCUAUAAUUUUAAUAGGAAUAUAUAUCAGAUCAAGGUGUAGCUUAUAUUUAAGUAGAGAUGGGUUACAAUAAAUAUAUUUAAACGGAUCUAAUUUUGAAAUAUUUUUAGUGAAGGUGGAUUUGAUAGUAAAAUUUUAAAGAUUGUGAAUUUGAUUUUAGCUCUAGAAUAUGCACACAUCGCCCGUCGCUCUUACUAUUAAGGUAAGAUAAGUCGUAACAUAGUAGAUGUACCGGAAGGUGUAUCUAGAAUGA
rnacentral:rRNA from 1 species